GGUUAAGCGACUAAGCGUACACGGUGGAUGCCCUGGCAGUCAGAGGCGAUGAAGGACGUGCUAAUCUGCGAUAAGCGUCGGUAAGGUGAUAUGAACCGUUAUAACCGGCGAUUUCCGAAUGGGGAAACCCAGUGUGUUUCGACACACUAUCAUUAACUGAAUCCAUAGGUUAAUGAGGCGAACCGGGGGAACUGAAACAUCUAAGUACCCCGAGGAAAAGAAAUCAACCGAGAUUCCCCCAGUAGCGGCGAGCGAACGGGGAGCAGCCCAGAGCCUGAAUCAGUGUGUGUGUUAGUGGAAGCGUCUGGAAAGGCGCGCGAUACAGGGUGACAGCCCCGUACACAAAAAUGCACAUACUGUGAGCUCGAUGAGUAGGGCGGGACACGUGGUAUCCUGUCUGAAUAUGGGGGGACCAUCCUCCAAGGCUAAAUACUCCUGACUGACCGAUAGUGAACCAGUACCGUGAGGGAAAGGCGAAAAGAACCCCGGCGAGGGGAGUGAAAAAGAACCUGAAACCGUGUACGUACAAGCAGUGGGAGCCUCUUAAUGGGGUGACUGCGUACCUUUUGUAUAAUGGGUCAGCGACUUAUAUUCUGUAGCAAGGUUAACCGAAUAGGGGAGCCGAAGGGAAACCGAGUCUUAACUGGGCGUUAAGUUGCAGGGUAUAGACCCGAAACCCGGUGAUCUAGCCAUGGGCAGGUUGAAGGUUGGGUAACACUAACUGGAGGACCGAACCGACUAAUGUUGAAAAAUUAGCGGAUGACUUGUGGCUGGGGGUGAAAGGCCAAUCAAACCGGGAGAUAGCUGGUUCUCCCCGAAAGCUAUUUAGGUAGCGCCUCGUGAAUUCAUCUCCGGGGGUAGAGCACUGUUUCGGCAAGGGGGUCAUCCCGACUUACCAACUCGAUGCAAACUGCGAAUACCGGAGAAUGUUAUCACGGGAGACACACGGCGGGUGCUAACGUCCGUCGUGAAGAGGGAAACAACCCAGACCGCCAGCUAAGGUCCCAAAGUCAUGGUUAAGUGGGAAACGAUGUGGGAAGGCCCAGACAGCCAGGAUGUUGGCUUAGAAGCAGCCAUCAUUUAAAGAAAGCGUAAUAGCUCACUGGUCGAGUCGGCCUGCGCGGAAGAUGUAACGGGGCUAAACCAUGCACCGAAGCUGCGGCAGCGACACUGUGUGUUGUUGGGUAGGGGAGCGUUCUGUAAGCCUGUGAAGGUGUACUGUGAGGUAUGCUGGAGGUAUCAGAAGUGCGAAUGCUGACAUAAGUAACGAUAAAGCGGGUGAAAAGCCCGCUCGCCGGAAGACCAAGGGUUCCUGUCCAACGUUAAUCGGGGCAGGGUGAGUCGACCCCUAAGGCGAGGCCGAAAGGCGUAGUCGAUGGGAAACAGGUUAAUAUUCCUGUACUUGGUGUUACUGCGAAGGGGGGACGGAGAAGGCUAUGUUGGCCGGGCGACGGUUGUCCCGGUUUAAGCGUGUAGGCUGGUUUUCCAGGCAAAUCCGGAAAAUCAAGGCUGAGGCGUGAUGACGAGGCACUACGGUGCUGAAGCAACAAAUGCCCUGCUUCCAGGAAAAGCCUCUAAGCAUCAGGUAACAUCAAAUCGUACCCCAAACCGACACAGGUGGUCAGGUAGAGAAUACCAAGGCGCUUGAGAGAACUCGGGUGAAGGAACUAGGCAAAAUGGUGCCGUAACUUCGGGAGAAGGCACGCUGAUAUGUAGGUGAAGUCCCUUGCGGAUGGAGCUGAAAUCAGUCGAAGAUACCAGCUGGCUGCAACUGUUUAUUAAAAACACAGCACUGUGCAAACACGAAAGUGGACGUAUACGGUGUGACGCCUGCCCGGUGCCGGAAGGUUAAUUGAUGGGGUUAGCGGUAACGCGAAGCUCUUGAUCGAAGCCCCGGUAAACGGCGGCCGUAACUAUAACGGUCCUAAGGUAGCGAAAUUCCUUGUCGGGUAAGUUCCGACCUGCACGAAUGGCGUAAUGAUGGCCAGGCUGUCUCCACCCGAGACUCAGUGAAAUUGAACUCGCUGUGAAGAUGCAGUGUACCCGCGGCAAGACGGAAAGACCCCGUGAACCUUUACUAUAGCUUGACACUGAACAUUGAGCCUUGAUGUGUAGGAUAGGUGGGAGGCUUUGAAGUGUGGACGCCAGUCUGCAUGGAGCCGGCCUUGAAAUACCACCCUUUAAUGUUUGAUGUUCUAACGUUGGCCCCUGAUCGGGGUUGCGGACAGUGUCUGGUGGGUAGUUUGACUGGGGCGGUCUCCUCCUAAAGAGUAACGGAGGAGCACGAAGGUUGGCUAAUCCUGGUCGGACAUCAGGAGGUUAGUGCAAUGGCAUAAGCCAGCUUGACUGCGAGCGUGACGGCGCGAGCAGGUGCGAAAGCAGGUCAUAGUGAUCCGGUGGUUCUGAAUGGAAGGGCCAUCGCUCAACGGAUAAAAGGUACUCCGGGGAUAACAGGCUGAUACCGCCCAAGAGUUCAUAUCGACGGCGGUGUUUGGCACCUCGAUGUCGGCUCAUCACAUCCUGGGGCUGAAGUAGGUCCCAAGGGUAUGGCUGUUCGCCAUUUAAAGUGGUACGCGAGCUGGGUUUAGAACGUCGUGAGACAGUUCGGUCCCUAUCUGCCGUGGGCGCUGGAGAACUGAGGGGGGCUGCUCCUAGUACGAGAGGACCGGAGUGGACGCAUCACUGGUGUUCGGGUUGUCAUGCCAAUGGCACUGCCCGGUAGCUAAAUGCGGAAGAGAUAAGUGCUGAAAGCAUCUAAGCACGAAACUUGCCCCGAGAUGAGUUCUCCCUGACUCCUUGAGAGUCCUGAAGGAACGUUGAAGACGACGACGUUGAUAGGCCGGGUGUGUAAGCGCAGCGAUGCGUUGAGCUAACCGGUACUAAUGAACCGUGAGGCUUAACCUU
rnacentral:rRNA from 1 species